ACCAGAGUAGCUCAACGGUAAAGCAACCGAUAAUUAAUCGGUUAGUUGCAGGUUCGAGUCCUUGCCUCUGGU
rnacentral:tRNA from 1 species